GACGAACGCUGGCGGCGUGCUUAACACAUGCAAGUCGAACGGAAAGGCCCUGCUUGCAGGGUACUCGAGUGGCGAACGGGUGAGUAACACGUGGGUGAUCUGCCCUGCACUUCGGGAUAAGCCUGGGAAACUGGGUCUAAUACCGGAUAGGAGCCAUCUUUAGUGUGAUGGUUGGAAAGUUUUUUCGGUGUAGGAUGAGCUCGCGGCCUAUCAGCUUGUUGGUGGGGUAAUGGCCUACCAAGGCGGCGGCGGGUAGCCGGCCUGAGAGGGUGGACGGCCACAAUGGGACUGAGAUACGGCCCAGACUCCUACGGGGGGCAGCAGUGGGGAAGAUUGCACAAUGGGCGCGAGCCUGAUGCAGCGACGCCGCGGGGGGGAUGACGGCCUUCGGGUUGUAAACUCCUUUCGCUAGGGACGAAGCUUUUUGUGACGGUACCUAGAUAAGAAGCACCGGCUAACUACGUG
rnacentral:rRNA from 1 species